GACAAGUCAACUAGCAGCUGCAUGUCAGUAAAUCAAAAGACCGUUCUGACCUCCCUCUUCGUCGUGGUUGGCUUACUAGUAUUGGUGGAAUCAACAACGCUUGCUCACAUACCACUUACGCAGGUCCAAUUACAGCGUUACAUUAUGGAAUAUAUACAAUAUUACCAUAUGCUGCAAGCUAGGGAUAUGCUCUCAGACACCGACGUAGAUCGUCUAAAUAUCUUUAUCCGACUCAUAAGGCCCUAUGUGUCUGCUUCCUCAAAAAGACGUGCUUGAAAGCUUAUCCAAAAUGUGAAAUCGAUCCUAUUCCUCUGAUGAGAUUGCGAUGGCACGUGUCGCAGAAAACUGACAAUUGAUUUUUAACCACGAACUGUUUUUAAAGAUAAUGUCUGUGUUGAUGCGUAUAUCAUAUUCUUGAUUUUUAUUGUAUAUCAUCCUGUAUCUCAUAAACGCUAAUUGUCUGUGUAAAUGUAAUGUUCCUCAAUAAAUUUAUAAACCAAGAUCGUAUUACACGGUGGUCGGUAUUUGGAUAAGUAUAUUUAUCACUCUUUUCUGUUCGUUUUCUCGAGAUGACGUUUCAUAAACCAUAUGUGUAUUGGCCGAUUAUUAAAUGUCGUGUAAUGACG